AUGGCGGAUGAGGCCACGCGACCUGUUGUGUCUGAGAUCCCGGUGGUGAAGACUAACGCCGGACCCCGAGAUCAGGAGUUGUGGGUGCAGCGACUGAAGGAGGAAUAUCAGUCCCUUAUCCGGUAUGUGGAGAACAACAAGAAUGCUGACAACGAUUGGUUCCAACUGGAGUCCAACAAGGAAGGGACUCGGUGGUUUGGAAAAUGCUGGUAUAUCCAUGACCUCCUGAAAUAUGAGUUUGACAUCAAGUUUGACAUUUCUAUCACAUAUCCUACUACUGCCCCCAGAAAUUGCAGUUCCUGAGCUGGAUGGAAAGACAGCAAAGAUGUACAGGGGUGGCAAAAUAUGCCUGACGGAUCAUUACAAACCUUUGUGGGCCAGGAAUGUGCCCAAACUUGGACUAGCUCAUCUCAUGGCUCUGGGGCUGGGUCCAUGGCUGGCAGUAGAAAUCCCUGAUCUGAUUCAGAAGGGCGUCAUCCAACACAAAGAGAAAUGCAACCAAUGAAGAAUCAAGCCACUGAGGCAGGGCAGAGGACCCUUUGAUAGGCUACGAUACUGUUUUCCUGUGCAUCACACUUACCUAACUGCUUCCCCGGACACUCUCCACCUCUAGUUGGUACUAAGUAGCUGCAGCAGUCAUUGCUGGGGUAGAAACAAACAAACACCAGCCAGUAUUGCUACUUAGUUUCUAAGGCUGCACAGGGAGGGGAAGGACUGGGCUUUGGACAAUCUAGAGGUAAUUUACAUCCGCCCCCAGGCGGAGCAACAUGCGAUCCUGGAGGCAUGGGGGUAACUGAAAGUGAGUACAUAAAGUCUUUCUGGUUUCUGGAGAUAACCCAUCAACAAAAGCCGCUUCCUCUGGU